rnacentral:rRNA from 1 species
GAUGAACGCUGGCGGCGUGCCUAAUACAUGCAAGUCGAGCGAACAGACGAGGAGCUUGCUCCUCUGACGUUAGCGGCGGACGGGUGAGUAACACGUGGAUAACCUACCUAUAAGACUGGGAUAACUUCGGGAAACCGGAGCUAAUACCGGAUAAUAUAUUGAACCGCAUGGUUCAAUAGUGAAAGACGGUUUUGCUGUCACUUAUAGAUGGAUCCGCGCCGCAUGAGCUAGUUGGUAAGGUAACGGCUUACCAAGGCAACGAUGCGUAGCCGACCUGAGAGGGUGAUCGGCCACACUGGAACUGAGACACGGUACAGACUCCUACGGGAGGCAGGAGGAGGGAAUCUUCCGCAAUGGGCGAAAGCCUGACGGAGAAACGCCGCGUGAGUGAAGAAGGUCUUCGGAUCGUAAAACUCUGUUAUUAGGGAAGAACAAAUGUGUAAGUAACGAUGCACGUCUGGACGGUACCUAAUCAGAAAGCCACGGCUAACUACGU